CCUAAUGGCAUUCCUAGUAGCGGCGAGCGAGCGGGAAGAGCUCAAAUUUAUAAUCUGGCGCUUUCGGCGUCCGAGUUGUAAUCUCUAGAAGUGUUUUCCGCGUUGGACCGCACAUAAGUCUGUUGGAAUACAGCGGCACAGUGGUGAGACCCCCGUUCACGGUGCGGAUGCCCAAUGCUUUGUGAUACACUUUCGAAGAGUCGAGUUGUUUGGGAAUGCAGCUCAAAUUGGGUGGUAAAUUCCAUCUAAAGCUAAAUAUUGGCGAGAGACCGAUAGCGAACAAGUACCGUGAGGGAAAGAUGAAAAGCACUUUGGAAAGAGAGUUAACAGUACGUGAAAUUGUUGGAAGGGAAACGCUUGAAGUCAGACUUGCUAUUCGGGGCUUGCUCCGAGUUGCAGGCCAGCAUCAGUUUUUCGGGGCGGAAAAUCACGGAUUGAAGGUAGCAGUUUCGGCUGUGUUAUAGCUUUCCGUUGGAUACGUCCUGGGGGACUGAGGAACGCAGUGUGCUUUUAGCGAGGGCUUCGGCUCUUUCACACUUAGGAUGCUGGUGGAAUGGCUUUAAACGACCCGUCUUGAAACCACGGACC
rnacentral:rRNA from 1 species